CAAUCAAUAAAGGGCUCAGAAUUCAUCUGUCCUAGCAAGGCUGGGCUAGAGGAGUCUGGAGAGCGGCGCCCCUCUCCGCCCCUCCAGUUCUUCCGUGUCUUCCUUUUUUUGGUUCUUCUUUGCUUUUUCCUUUUUUCUAGCUCUUUUUUCUUCCCCUGAGCGGCUGUCACUCCCAGCCUUGUCUGGCUCCUUCUCUUUCUCUUCUCCCUUCUCCCCUUUUGCUCCUGUUCCUUCCAGCCCAGCUUUGGGGACACUGCCUGUUGGGAAAAAGUGGGGGAAGAACCUUUUGAUGAACCCUCAGUUCCUCUCCAGGCAUUGGGAGGCCCUCUCCCCACUCCUCCAAAGAAACAUCUCCAACCCUUGAUGGAAUGUAUCCCCUGUUCUCAGUGACACUUUGAGAGGGGGACUAAUACCGGGGUACAUAAAGGGUCAAAUACCCACCUUCUUCACCUAUGGGCAUUAUAUUUAGGGAGCAGUUCCCACGCUGGGUUUUCUGGCUGUGGGCAAGGGGAGCAGAAGCAGGAAAGGGCCGGGGUAGGAGAGACGUGGUGGGGUGACCCCCUCUCCUGCAGUGCUCCCUUCCCGGGUUCCUCUCUGGACCUGACUGAACCUUUAUUGAAUCCUUAUUAGUGUGCAAAUCAUGAAAUGUCUGUCCUACCCACUGUGGUUGAGGAGAGAGGCCAGGUCUUACGAGAGGGGUCAGGCCUGGGCAAAGCAGGAUGGAGGUGCUUCAGGGCCUGUUCCGAGAAUCAUGUAUUGUGACAGUCCUGGCACCCCCUUUGCUGCCUCCCUACUGCUCACUUGGGGCUGCCACCAGCCUCCCACCCUCCUGGUUCCGCUGGCCGGGCCAGGAGAGGAUGGGGAUGGGAGCCCCAGAGGGCCCAGGAGAUCUUGUAUAUAAUGGGGUGGGACUGUUGUGCGUGAUCUCUGAGCACUUAAAGCUCAGGAGUCCCAUUCUUCCAGAAUGGAGAAGGGGUGCAGGGACGGAGGCACAGAGGGAGUCCCCUCCUCUCCUUUCUCCUGUUGUGAAUUAAUUCACCUCUCCUCAGCCUUCCCCUCCAAACCACCAGCCUGGGAGGGGAGAGGAAGGAGGUCACAGCCCAGAAAACUGGCCUGUGGCAACUUCCCUCCUUCCCGCCAAUGUGAGCCAUCCUGAGAUGUCUGUACAAUAGAAACCAAACCAAAUGGGCACCCUCGGUCACCGAGGGGCGGGCGGGAGGGGGGUGGGAAGAAGGGAUGUCUGUCUGUGGAUCCCCCUCCCCCUCUCCACUCCUUACCCACAAAGGCAAAAGACUGUUACACUAGGGGCUCAGCAAUCCAAUCCCACCCUUACUGAGUGAGCCAGACCUAGGAACAAAACACACAGCAACAAAACAGGAGAGAAAGCGAGAGUAGGAGAGGGAGCGAGAUGGGUGACAACACAGGAGAGGAAACAAAAAUAGCAAAAAAAAAAAAAAAAAAAAAGCAGUUCUUUAUAAUUUAAUAUUCUAUUUUAAUAAAGGCGUUUAUUACCGUAUAAAUGUAGCAAAGAACCUGGGCUAAUAUGAAAAAAAAAGACUUUUUAUUAGGUAAUUUAUUAUAUGAAAAGGAUAUUUUAUUUUAUGAUAAAGUGAUCCUUAAAAAAAAAUAAAAAAACUUUAGAAGGUUUAGAAUAUAUGUAGGGAGAGAAGAAGAAGAAAAAAAUACAUUUGUAUUCAGAGUUAAAUCUUAAAAAAAAAAAAAAGUGUUUUUAAUAUAUGUUCGGGUUUGCGUUCCUUUUUUCCCCCACUUUUUUUUGGGGAGGAAUGUCAUUUGCUUUUCUUGGGGGAGCAUCCUGGGAUGGAGGGUGGAGAGAAGGACUGGGGGAACCUGGUCCCUUCUGGGGCCCUGCAAGUAGAUUGGAUUUCACUGGGUGGGCUCCCCCUCCCCUCUCCCCCUUCCCCCUCAGGGGAGCCGGCAGAGCCAAACAAAGAAAGGGAUUAACUAGAAAGGAAGAAGCUGUGGGACUAAGGACUGAGGAUCCUGGGGUGUCCCCCCCCUUCCCCUGCCCUGUCCCAGGGGCUACUGCGGAGGGGAGAUCCAGAACUGAGGCCUACUAGGCCUACGGGAACCCUCAGAGAGGUGUGAGAUUUAAGAGAAAUAGAUUUUUUUUUUUUAACCAAAAAGAGAAAGAAGAAAAAAGAAAGAAACCGAGGGGUUUAAAAGAAAAGAAUACUACAAAAUAAUAAUAAUAAUUCAAAUUUAUUUCAUAUAAUCCUAGAGAAAGAAAGAAAGAAUUACUAGUUACUUAGUAGACGAUAUUCAGAUAGUUUAAAGUUUAGUAGCAUCGAGGACCCCUGGGUCCAGUAGAAUGUAUAAAAGUCGUAUCAAAAAGAAUAGAGGAGGGAAAUGGCUGAGUCCACCCUGGUCACCCCAUCUUCAGGAAUCAGGGUUGGAGCAGGUUGCUAGUUAAGAUUGGGAGCUUCCAGUCUGCUGGGGUUGAUUCUGAGAAUCCGUGGAUUUUUUAAUUGUAGGACAGAUAGAUGAGGGGCUCGUUCCCAGGGUCUUUGAAAGGGUGCACACUGACCACCUCAGCCACGUGGGGGGCUGGGCUGGGGGCAGCAGAGGAGGCUGAGCACGUUGACCUACACACCCUGUACCUGGGGGCCUGGCCAUCUCUAUUGGGCAGCCCUUGUGGCAAAGUGGUCCAUCCUCUCUGGGGACUCUCAGGGAGGAUGGAGACUGCUUGCUUCAACUCUCCCAAGUCAGCUUCUCCCAGGCCUGAGGAAGUCCUUACUAAAGUAUAACCUCAAUUCACUUUACUACAGAUAAGAGCCAGGUAAACCAUCCCACAGACAAGUCAGUCGAACACACUUUCCACCAUCCCAGGGCUUCAAGAGCCCUGAGGGGAUCAGUCCCCCAUCCCGUUCCCUUUCAGCAUUUAAUGUUGCUUUUGACCUCUGAAAGUAGUGAUCUCAAUAAUUAUUCUCCUUUAAAUCUGUAUGGUGCUUUACAGGUUUGCAAGUUAUCUCAUAAAAGCUAGAUUUCAAGAAGGACUUUCUACCCAGUGAGGUGGAAUGGAGACGACUAUCCUCCAAGGCCUGGGAGAAUAGCCCCCCCAAGAAUACAGAGACAGGUAGGGGCACAGGGGCUUUGGGUGACCCCAGCUCUUAACCCCUCUACUCCAGCCCUAGGGGUCAUCCACUGUGCCCUGGCACAGGGGCACGUGGCCUUCCCCACAGAAAACUGGGAGGCUAGCUUUGCAUGUGAGGAAUCAACAUUUAAGCACUUGCCUCCUACCAAACCCAGCAGUCGACCGGAUCAGGCCCUUUCCUCCUAUCCCAGAGGGUGGAGAAGCCCUUGGCUCUCCCUUUGGCAUGAGGUGCCUGUUCCUUUAUACCAGUGACUCUGCCAUGCCGUUCCCUGACCCCAGCCCCCAACAUCUCCCUCUCCCCAAUUUACUCUUCUUGCCCCACCUAGGGACAGAUUUCCCCCCUGCUCUUUUUGUCCUCGAACCCUCGCUAGUCUGGGAUGGUAGUGUCUGGGAUGGGGAGGGCCUGCUUCCCCUUCCCCGCUCGAGGGUGCGGGUGGGGUAGGGUGGGUGGGUGGAGACCGCCCUGGGGCAGAGAGGAUGGUCUCUCCACUGUAGAAAGUAGAGUAGGAUUGUGGUCAGACUUAAUUUGAGGCAUCUAGUGAAGACACAUCCACCAAGGAAAAACAAUUUCAAAAGCAAAAUAAAAGCGGGAAAUAAAACAGACCCAUGAAUAAUCAAGUCAAAGUGAUGUUGCACAAAAUGCAGAGAAACCAAGAAGGGGGAGGGUUAAUGUAUUAAAUGUGCUAU
rnacentral:lncRNA from 1 species